rnacentral:rRNA from 1 species
AGUUUGAUCUAUGGCUCAGAUUGAACGCUGGCGAGAUGCUUUACCAUGCAAGUCGAACGGCAGCACGGACUUCGGUCUGGUGGCGAGUGGCGAACAGGUGAGUAAUGUAUCCAGAACGUGCCCACAAGUAGCGGGGGAUAACUACGCGAAAGCGUAGCUAAUACCUGUCGCCCUUCGAGAAAGCGGGGACCUUCCGGGCCUCGCACUAUUAGAGCGGCCGAUAUCGGAUUAGCUGGUUGGUGGGGUAACGGCUCACCAAGGCGACGAUCCAUCAGCUGGUUUGAGAGGACGACCAGCCACACUGGGACUGAGACCGCGGCCCAGACUCCUACGGGAGGCAGCAGUGGGGUACGGACGGUAGAAACCCUGAUCCAACCAUCCCGGCAUUAUUGCGAUGAAGGCCUUCCGGGUUGUAAAGCACUUUUGGCAGAAAGAAGCAGCUGCAGGAUAAUACCCCCGUGCAACUGACAGUACCUGCAGAAUAAGCACCGGCUAACUACGUGCCUUCAGCCGCGGUAAUACGUAGAGGGUGCAAGCGUUGAUCGGAAUUACUGGGCGUAAAGCGUGCGCAGGCGGUUCGGAAAGAAAGAUGUGAAAUCCCAAGCUUAACUUUGGAGACUGCAUUUUUAACUACCGAGCUAGAGUGUGUCAGAGGUGGAAUUCCGCGCGUCUGUAUGAUGAAAUGUAGAUGUGCGGAGGAACACCGAUGGCGAAGGCGGCCUCGCAGGAUAACACUGGCGCUGCCUCAUGCUGUAGCGUGGGGGCAAACAGGAUUAGAUGCCCACAGUGAUCCACGCCCUAAACGAUGUCAACUAGCUGUUGGGGCCUUCGGGCGCUUGGUAGCGCAGCAACGCGCGUGAAGUUGACGCCUGGGAGUACGGUCGCAAGAUUAAAACUCAAGGAAUCAAUGGGGACCCACUGGCGGUGGAUGAUGUGGAUUAAUUCGAUGCAACGCGAAAAACCUUACCUACCCUUGACAUGUCUGGAAUCCCGAAGAGAUUUGGGAGUGCUCGCAAGAGAACCGGAACACAGGUGCUGCGUAUUUGUCGUCAGAUCGUGUCGUGAGAUGUUGGGAGUUUAAGUCCGCAACAGGAAGCGCAGCCCUUGUCAUUAGAUUGCUACGUAAGGAGCACUCUGUGAGACGUUUAUGACGACAAACCGGAGGAAGGUGGGGAUGACGUCAAGUCUCAUGGCCCUUAUGGGUAGGGCUUCACACGUCAUACAAUGGUCGGGACAGAGGGUCGCCAGCCCGCGAGGAGUCAAUCCCAGAAACCCAGUCGUAGUCGGAUCGCAGUCUGCAACUCGACUGCGUGAAGUCGGAAUCGCCAGUAAUCGCGGAUCAGCAUGUCGCGGUGAAUACGUUCCCAGGUCUUGUACACACCGCCCGUCACCACCAUGGGAGUGGGUUUUACCCAGAAGUAUGAUUAGCCUAACCCGUAAGAGGGCAGUUACCACGGUAGGAUUCAUGACUGGGGGUGAUCGUAACAAAAGAGUAA